rnacentral:rRNA from 1 species
UACAGAGGGGGCAAGCGUUGUUCGGAAUUACUGGGCGUAAAGGGCGCGUAGGUGGUAGUGUAAGUCUGGCGUGAAAUUUUUCGGCUUAACCGGGAAAGGUCGUCGGAUACUGCACAACUAGAGGACGGUAGAGGCGUGUGGAAUUCCGGGUGUAGUGGUGAAAUGCGUAGAGAUCCGGAGGAACACCAGUGGCGAAGGCGACACGCUGGGCCGUACCUGACACUGAUGCGCGACAGCAUGGGGAGCAAACAGG